AAUUUUGGACAAUGGGCGCAAGCCUGAUCCAGCCAUUCCGCGUGCAGGAUGAAGGCCUUCGGGUUGUAAACUGCUUUUGUCCGGAACGAAAAAGUCCUCUUUAAUACCGGGGGAUAAUGACGGUACCGUAAGAAUAAGCCCCGGCUAACUACGUGCCAGCAGCCGCGGUAAUACGUAGGGUGCAAGCGUUAAUCGGAAUUACUGGGCGUAAAGCGUGCGCAGGCGGUUUUGUAAGACAGAGGUGAAAUCCCCGGGCUCAACCUGGGAACUGCCUUUGUGACUGCAAGGCUGGAGUGCGGCAGAGGGGGAUGGAAUUCCGCGUGUAGCAGUGAAAUGCGUAGAUAUGCGGAGGAACACCGAUGGCGAAGGCAAUCCCCUGGGCCUGUACUGACGCUCAUGCACGAAAGCGUGGGGAGCAAACAGGAUUAGAUACCCUGGUAGUCCACGCCCUAAACGAUGUCAACUGGUUGUUGGGUCUUCACUGACUCAGUAACGAAGCUAACGCGUGAAGUUGACCGCCUGGGA
rnacentral:rRNA from 1 species